CCAAUAGCGUAUAUUAAAGUUGUUGCAGUUAAAAAGCUCGUAGUUGAAUUUCGGGAUCAAUCUAUCGGUCGUGCAAUAGUACGUACUGAUUUUAUUGAUUCCUCUCUUCUGAUGAACUAUGAUGUCAUUAAUUUGGUGUCAUAGGGAAUCAGGACUGUUACUUUGAAAAAAUUAGAGUGUUUAAAGCAGGCUCACGCUUGAAUACAUUAGCAUGGAAUAACGAAAUAGGACGUUUGAUUCUAUUUUGUUGGUUUCUAGGAUCGACGUAAUGAUUAAUAGGGAUAGUUGGGGGCAUUAGUAUUCAAUUGUCAGAGGUGAAAUUCUUGGAUUUAUUGAAGACUAACUACUGCGAAAGCAUCUGCCAAGGAUGUUUUCAUUAAUCAAGAACGAAAGUUAGGGGAUCGAAGACGAUCAGAUACCGUCGUAGUCUUAACCAUAAACUAUGCCGACUAGGGAUCGGAUGAUGUUAAUUUUUUAAUGACUCAUUCGGCGCCUUACG
rnacentral:rRNA from 1 species